rnacentral:ncRNA from 2 species
AUGGUUUUAAGUUUUCGACCACUGCAGCCUUCGGGCAUACCCUGGAUGCAGUGGCGGUGGAGACAGUGCGCGGGCGACGGCGCCCGCGCUACACGUUUCCCGAGGGUGCCGGUGGAAACGCUUGCGCCUCCCGUGCUUCGUGAGAAGCCUUUGGAAAGGAAACGCUCGCUGGAGUAU